GACAUUUCUCAUGCAUCUUCACUGAUCAGUGUAACAGCCUGCACAGCAGCCCCCACAGAAACCAGCCCUUGGUCAUCUCUGUUUGCAAAUCCUCUUUUAUCUCCAUAGUUACACUGCUCCAAGAAAGCCAUGUCCGGUAAUUACAAAAGGCAUGCUGAAGCUGUAAUGCCGUUCUCUGGGUUGCAUUUGUCAAGCUUGUUGGCCGGCUUGUUUAUCGUGUGUCUCUAAAAGGCUCUUUUUUGAGACGAUUCUAAGACUUGUCUUCACUGUAUCAGGAGCCUACCUUAAUACGCGUGUUUCUUUUCACCGUUGUUUUAAACCAUACACUGAGUGAUGUAAUAAUCCCCCCCAUCAAAGCUCCCGCUGGUGUCUCCGUCCACCACUAGGUGCCAGUAGGAGCAUUGCUUUUGGGAGGCGGGAGGCUGAGAUGGGCGAUCUGGAGGGGCCGGCUGUGGGUCUCCAAGCAUUUCUUGUAAUGGCGUGAAGUGGAGUCUCCAAAGGCCAAUUGACUUCAUCUUAAGGAAGUUCCCUCCUGAAGGUGGUUUGUUACAACCAUUAUUUUCCUCUCGACUGUUUAUGAAAAGCUUAUAUUCAGGGAUUCAGUCACUUCAACACAGAUGUCCUAUCCCAUCACCAGUGAUCUCAGGUAUCCUGCAUCGUCUCCAACUGAACUUGCAGAAACCUGGGUCUUGUGUCAUAUCAGCAAGAUCCAGGAAAUGUCUUGGCUGCUGUAUAGUACUUAAUAUGACGUCGUGUUCCUGUGUGCAAAGAACUGAAUCAAUCUCCUAGUUCACGUCCAGCUUUUGAGUGGCUGAAGUUUUUGGCAAUAAUGACUCACUCUCUAAGUCACUUUCUUGAGGUCACAGGACAUUGAUGCCAGAAGCAUGUGUUUACAAGCCCAAAAAAAGAGCAAAGGAGAGGAUCCUGGGAAGUAUAAAACUAUCAGCGUAACCAUGAUAAUGAGAGUCAAUUAUUAAUCAAUGUGUAAGCACAUAAGUGAUAAGAAGGCAGUAGCACAUAUUGAAACGGAUUAAUCAGGAACAUAUCACUUCAAAUUUAUUCAGGGUCCUUAUUUGAAGGACUGACUAGCCAAGUGUAUAAACGGAUAUAUGUGAUGUAUGUUGACUUUGUUAGUGUCAAAUUACUUGCUCUUAUAAACAAAACUGUGUAAUGAGAUCAAAAUGAAAUAGGGAUUAGAAUGAGAACAUCAUGUUUGAAUCAUGUGGAAGCACUGAUCCGUUGUUCACUGCCAAAGCUGGACAUGCCAAUUGGGUCCUGCAUACAUCUGCUGCAGCCUCUAUGUUUUCAACAGUAAAUUGUCUACUGGGAAAGGGGGAACUUAACACAGUUCCUGCAAGCACUUGCUGGGACAGGCUGGGAGAGGCUGAUUCAGAGAACAGGAUCAGGACUCAAAUUGAUCUUCACAGAUUGGAGAGCUUGUCUGAAAUCAAUAAGCCUCACUGUGAUAAAGACAAGUAUGAAAUGCACUUCUAGGACAAAAGACAGUUCAAAUGUAUGGUGUGUGAAAUGGGAAAUAACUGAUAAGGCAGCAGCGCUACAGGAGUGGAUCAACUGGCUAUUGCGAACCACUUGCAAGUUGAAGCUACGUUAAAGCUUAUACAGAAAAACAAAUGUUGUUUGGCAAUAUAUUAGCAGCAGUGUCUUGGGUAAAACACUGAGUGAGAAUUGUGAACGCUUUCAUCAGUGAGAGUCCGUUGGGGAAUUAUUAACCGGGCCUCAGCCGAACGGGACGGCCUCGGGGAAAGGAAAAACGCGGCGCGGCCCCGUGUGCCACCCACCGAUGGGGCUGGGGCGGCCGCCGCGGUGCAACUGGACGUUAUACGGCCGGCUCCGCUCAGAAAGCUCCGCUCUGCCCACGGCUCUGCCGCCAGCCGAGCCCCGCGGUGCCGCAGCCCGGGG
ensembl:lncRNA